rnacentral:rRNA from 1 species
CGGACGGGUGAGUAAUGUCUGGGAAACGUGCCUGAUGGAGGGGGGUAACUACUGGAAACGGUAGCUAAUACCGCAUAACGUCGCAAGACCAAAGAGGGGGACCUUCGGACCUCUUGCCAUCGGAUGUGCCCAGAUGGGAUUAGCUAGUAGGCGGGGUAAAGGCUCACCUAGGCGACGAUCCCUAGCUGGUCUGAGAGGAUGACCAGCCACACUGGAACUGAGACACGGUCCAG